CCCCCGGUUCGGAAUAACUCAGGGAAACUUGAGCUAAUACCGGAUACGGUCGAGAGGCGAAAGAUUUAUCGCCGGGGGAUCGGCCCGCGUCCGAUUAGCUAGUUGGUGUGGUAAUGGCGCACCAAGGCGACGAUCGGUAGCUGGUCUGAGAGGAUGAUCAGCCACAUUGGGACUGAGACACGGCCCAAACUCCUACGGGAGGCAGCAGUGGGGAAUAUUGGACAAUGGGCGCAAGCCUGAUCCAGCCAUGCCGCGUGAGUGAUGAAGGCCUUAGGGUUGUAAAGCUCUUUCGCCCACGACGAUAAUGACGGUAGUGGGAGAAGAAGCCCCGGCUAACUUCGUGCCAGCAGCCGCGGUAAUACGAAGGGGGCUAGCGUUGUUCGGAAUUACUGGGCGUAAAGCGCGUGUAGGCGGGUCCUUAAGUCAGGGGUGAAAUGCCGAGGCUCAACCUCGGAACUGCCUUUGAUACUGGGGAUCUUGAGUCCGGGAGAGGUGAGUGGAACUGCGAGUGUAGAGGUGAAAUUCGUAGAUAUUCGCAAGAACACCAGUGGCGAAGGCGGCUCACUGGCCCGGAACUGACGCUGAGACGCGAAAGCGUGGGGAGCAAACAGGAUUAGAUACCCUGGUAGUCCACGCUGUAAACGAUGGAUGCUAGCCGUUGGGGAGCUUGCUCUUCAGUGGCGCAGCUAACGCCUUAAGCAUCCCGC
rnacentral:rRNA from 1 species